rfam:Asian citrus Psyllid, Diaphorina citri - Florida Strain, whole genome shotgun sequence.
UUACCAUGAUGAAACCUUUUAAUUUUAAACCAUCUUUCGGGGCUGAAAGUUGUGAUGCCAAUCUGAAAUUCUGAGGAAA